rnacentral:tRNA from 1 species
GCGCCCGUAGCUCAGCUGGACAGAGCAACAGCCUUCUAAGCUGUGGGUCCCCCGUUCGAGUCGGGGCGGGCGUG